CUCAAGCUUCCCUCGGUGUGACUGUCAGUUGACUUCCUGUUGCCUGAAAGAGGUAGGACUCUCAGCUACUCCUGCCCUGCAUCUGCCUGCGCUCCACCGUGUUCUCCGUGAUAAUGGACUGCACCUCCGAAACUUCAUCCCCUCAAGCCCUUCCCCCCACUCUCCUUCAAAGUCGCGGCCUCACCUUUUCACAGACAGGAUCCAGAGGCAGGGAAAGAAACCAGGUAGAAACUAGAAGACCAGGGGUUCCGGGUCAUCUUCAGCUACAUGACACGUCCUGGCUCACAUCCUGAAACCCUGUGAGAGAUGGGCCAGCAAGACAUACCUGCCCUAUGCUCUACUUGGUCCUUACCGUGCGCCUGCAUUCCUUCAUUCCCCAAAGAAGCAAGUGAGCUGAGCAUCCACCGGAAGUGUGCCAGAGCUGGAGUCUUCCGUGGGAACCGGGGCUGAAGUCAGGCCCUGCCUCCACCGCCUUCCCAGCUGUUGUCAUACGUAUUAGAAAGGACACCUGCUAUAUGGUGACGCAACCAUCAAAUGGGAUCAUGAGACCUUCGACACAGUCUGACUCCUGGCCGCUCCUUGGUGUAUGCCAGCCCUGAAACCCAGCUGAGCAGUGUAUUGUUCCCCGGCUUCUGAAGCCAUGGCCGCGCUCUAUUCGCAGGAUAUAAAAAG